CUGGACGCGCGGCCCCGCGGCGCCAUUUCCGCUUCAACCACUCGUGAACGCGAGCGCAGGCGCGCCGGAGGAAACGGAGGCUGCGCUUGCAAACCUCGCAAGAAGCUCGCCCUUGUCGUCUCCCAGCGGGCUUCUUAGCUCCCAGCUUGUUUGAUGGGGGUGCCUCUUUUUCUUUCCAGGUAUAGCUGUCCAGCGACACCAUCAUGCAUUCAUUUCUCCAACAAACAUUUUCAUGGGCUCUUGCUCUAUACUGGGGAUGUAGUGGUAAAUGAAAUGGACGAGGCCCUGCCCUCGUGGAACUUACAGUCUGGCAAAGGAAACAGACAAUAAAAUUCUCAGUUGUCUAAGGAGGCAGAGAUGCAUGGGGAGAGGAUCAGAGUAGGGAUGCGGAAGCAGCGAGUGGUCAGGAGUGUGCGUGCCAAAAGGCAGGAGACCUGUGGGACGUGGGGGCAGCUGGGGCCGGAACUUGCGCUGGAGGAACACCCCUUGCCUGCUGGGGCGAGAAGAGGACCCUUUCCUUGGGUGAAAUUCCCCAUAUUGUUAAAAGGACAAUUAAAGAAAUGAAAGAGAGGUCACCUGGGUGAAUAGGCAACUUAGAUGGGCCUCCCUGUGUUCCUGUCAUGCCUCCAAUUCUGCGUCCAGGUGUCCGGAACACAUUUUUUUCUGCCUUUGAAACCUUCCAGUACCUCUGGCAGAGAUAUACCAUACCCUCCUUGUUACCUGCGUGCGGAAUCUUAACUCAUCGUUGUGCUACAUCUGCACCUUCUGCCUUUGUGCCUUGUUUUGUGUUUUCCCUCCUCCGGGGAGAAUAUAAUAAACUUAGCUGAGUCCGUUCUACA
rnacentral:lncRNA from 1 species